CGCUCACAUUGGAAUAUUCAUGAAUCGGGAACUAGGCGAAUAGAAACAGAGUUUUUUUCGAUCCUAAAUAUGGUAACACUAUCAACGUCUCUAUUACCGGGAACAAGGUGGCGAUGCUGCAGUCCAGAAUAGAUGGCUUCUCUAGAACAAUUGAGUUCUUAAGGAACUCUGACAUCCUGCGUCGCGUUCUUGUGACAAACUUCGUGCAAAUUUUAUUCCAUUGGCUGAAUGCCGAUCAUUUUGUUACUUUUGGCCUCAGGCCAAUAUUAUUCGCGGAACUGGUUGUGGUUAAGCAAAAUGUUGCCAUCAGAAAUGUUCGUCAACAUAUUUUUCAGACGUUCGUCCGGAACCUUCUCCUCUCUGGAUUCGAGAUAUCUACAAGGGAAAUUUGGUACGCAGAAGAUGCAUAAAGUUGAUUGACGCACGCGUCUCGCGUUGAAGCUUGUUUUCUACGUGCUAGCGUGCACGCUAACCAACACUAACCAGUGGGUCAAACGUUCUGCAUGACACAUAGCCUACUGCUCGCCCAAGUUCGCGUCCAAGCAACGAUACGUGGAGUUCUGCAUGAAACGGUGCACACAUGCUCGUACCACGUGCCAGUCACGUGCUCGACGCGAGAGGAAGUAAGUGGCCUAUCCUGAAUGAUUACCGAAUUAUCGAAGGUACGAAAAACUGUAAAAAAGCAUUACUACUUUAACCAGA